AGAGUUUGAUCCUGGCUCAGGAUGAACGCUGGCGGCGUGCUUAACACAUGCAAGUCGAACGGGAAUUACUUUAUUGAAACUUCGGUCGAUUUAAUUUAAUUCUAGUGGCGGACGGGUGAGUAACGCGUGGGCAACCUGCCUUAUACAGGGGGAUAACAGUCAGAAAUGGCUGCUAAUACCGCAUAAGCGCACAGAGCUGCAUGGCUCAGUGUGAAAAACUCCGGUGGUAUAAGAUGGACCCGCGUUGGAUUAGCUUGUUGGUGGGGUAACGGCCUACCAAGGCGACGAUCCAUAGCCGGCCUGAGAGGGUGAACGGCCACAUUGGGACUGAGACACGGCCCAGACUCCUACGGGAGGCAGCAGUGGGGAAUAUUGCACAAUGGGGGAAACCCUGAUGCAGCGACGCCGCGUGGAGGAAGAAGGUCUUCGGAUUGUAAACUCCUGUUGUUGAGGAAGAUAAUGACGGUACUCAACAAGGAAGUGACGGCUAACUCCGUGCCAGCAGCCGCGGUAAUACGGAGGAUGCGAGCGUUAUCCGGAUUUAUUGGGUUUAAAGGGAGCGCAGACGGGUCGUUAAGUCAGCUGUGAAAGUUUGGGGCUCAACCUUAAAAUUGCAGUUGAUACUGGCGUCCUUGAGUGCGGUUGAGGUGUGCGGAAUUCGUGGUGUAGCGGUGAAAUGCUUAGAUAUCACGAAGAACUCCGAUUGCGAAGGCAGCACACUAAUCCGUAACUGACGUUCAUGCUCGAAAGUGUGGGUAUCAAACAGGAUUAGAUACCCUGGUAGUCCACACGGUAAACGAUGGAUACUCGCUGUUGGCGAUAUACAGUCAGCGGCUUAGCGAAAGCGUUAAGUAUUCCACCUGGGGAGUACGCCGGCAACGGUGAAACUCAAAGGAAUUGACGGGGGCCCGCACAAGCGGAGGAACAUGUGGUUUAAUUCGAUGAUACGCGAGGAACCUUACCCGGGCUCAAACGUCGGGCGGAUCAUCCUGAAAGGGGUGAGCCAGCAAUGGCGGUCGACGAGGUGCUGCAUGGUUGUCGUCAGCUCGUGCCGUGAGGUGUCGGCUUAAGUGCCAUAACGAGCGCAACCCCCGCGUCCAGUUGCCAGCGAUUUAAGUCGGGCACUCUGGACGGACUGCCGGCGCAAGCCGCGAGGAAGGCGGGGAUGACGUCAAAUCAGCACGGCCCUUACGUCCGGGGCGACACACGUGUUACAAUGGCGUGGAACAGAGGGAAGCCACCUGGCGACAGGGAGCGGAACCCGAAAACACGUCUCAGUUCGGAUUGGAGUCUGCAACUCGACUCCAUGAAGCUGGAUUCGCUAGUAAUCGCGCAUCAGCCAUGGCGCGGUGAAUACGUUCCCGGGCCUUGCACUCACCGCCCGUCA
rnacentral:rRNA from 1 species